rnacentral:lncRNA from 1 species
ACUGAUAGGGGAUACUGAACAACACUGGGGACCUAAAAUUCAUCCCAAUGUGGUAGAUUUCAAGCAGAUUGACACUAAGCUGUUCGCCUGCACUUUUGGGGAUAUUACUCUCCAUCAAAUUAUGCUCCUAGGAUUGCAUGAGACUUUUUAUGUUUGCAACCUUCGCACUUUAAUGGACACUGGAGUGUAAGCAAGACUGUAAAUCUGUCUACAGGACUAAAUUCCAGCUCAUACGAACCUCAGUUGUUUCCAUUUCUUGUAUGCU